rnacentral:rRNA from 1 species
UACGUAGGGGUCGAGCGUUGUCCGGAGUUACUGGGCGUAAAGCGCGCGCAGGCGGCGCGAUAAGACCGGCGUGAAAGCCCCCGGCUCAACCGGGGAGGGUCGUUGGUGACUGUCGCGCUUGAAGGCAGCAGGGGUGAGUGGAACUCCCGGUGUAGUGGUGAAAUGCGUAGAGAUCGGGAAGAACACCCGUGGCGAAGGCGGCUCACUGGGCUGACCUUGACGCUGAGGCGCGAAGGCGUGGGGAGCGAACAGG